GGUUUCUUAGUUAUUUCCUGGUAGAUCCUGUAGAUUUGCUGAAACAAUAUUUGUAGGUUGAAUUGUGCCUCUCGAAAAGGUAUGUUGAGGUGUUAACCCGCAGAACCUCAGAACGUGACCUUAUUUGGAAACAAGAGUGUAGCAAGCGUAAUGAGGUGAGGUUACGGGGGCGUAGGUGGGCCCUAUUCCAACGUGACUUCUCUCCUUAUAAGAGUGGGGGAGAGAGAAUCCCAGGGAGUAAGCCACGCAAAGGCAGAGGCAGAAACUGGAGUGACGCGUCUGUAAACUAAGGAAAGCCAAGGACUGCCAGCCCUCGCCAGAAGCAGGAAGAGGCGUCACUCAGAGCCCUCAGAGGGGCCAACCCUGCAGGUACCUUGAUUUGGGCUGAUAGCCUCCAGAUCGGUCAGAUAAUCCGCUUAUGUUGUUUUAAGACACCGGGUUUCUAGUACUUUGUUACGGCAGCCCUAGGAAAUGAAGGCCCAACGGGAGACUCCUUUCCUCCGCACUCCCCCGCUUGAGAGGAUGACCUGGAGCUGCCCGGAGACGGCCUGGUCCCUGUUUGUUUCGCGGCCGUGAACUGCCUCCUUCCCUUCUUCACGGGGUGUUUGGCCAGGCAGGAGUGUGUUAGGAUAAGACCUGGGUUAACUGGAAUUCACAUUCCCAGCGCUGGAGCCAAUUUAUCAGUGCUGCUUGGGGUGAGAAAUAACAGCCAGAAGCAGCAGGAUGGGGCACGGAACUUCAUUACAGGACACAUGUGGCUGGACACGUCUGGAAGCCGGCGGUCGAGGAAGCUCACGGUGGCAUUCUCAAAGUUCCAUCUUCUCAGGCACAAGGUGUGGUGGAGAAGGGUGUGGAGUAGAUCCAAAGGGCGCCCAACAUUUCCAGCCCAAGGAAUUGCUGCCUAAUGGUUUAGUGAGCAGCAUAAUGAUUCGGGGUCAAUAG
rnacentral:lncRNA from 12 species